GUUGUUGAGUGUUUACUUCCCAAGUGACAACUGAGUAAUCACGUUCAGGUACAAUAAAAAAUGGCAAGCCAGAAUGUGCUAGCUAUUUGCCAAUUUGUCGUAACAUGCAUGUAAAGAGAUGGCAGCAGUUUAUGCACAUUUCUUGACUUCAACAGAUGACUAUCCAGAUUCAAUUGGGACCGUUAAGGAGCACAAAGGUAGAUUGAAAAUUACCAGCGAGUCCAUCUCCUACUUCGACUGCAAUGUAAUGCUGAGUCUCACUUUCUUUCUUCCGUCUCUUUUCUCUUCUUAUCAGAGCAAAGAUGCAUUUCAGGCGAUGAACUCAACCAUUGCUCUGGGUUUGUGUGUGUGUGUGUGUGUGUGUGAGAGAGAGAGAGAGGGUGAGAGAGGGAGAAGUUGUUAGCUUUAAGCUGUCUUGUGAUUUCGUUUCCACUUGAAUCUGCUAUAUGACAUCUUCCAUGUUGUUUGUAUUACACCGUCGCGUCUCAUGUAACUUAUGAGGUUGGAGAUGGACAGCUUUUGUUUGUCUUCAGCCUUUACGUAACCUUUCCUAAGAUAUGUGCUUUCACUGCUUACUUGUGGAUCUGAAAGUUUUUCUUUGAUUAGAUGGUGUUGGUUGUAACAGAAUAGUAGAAUGCAUUGGCUAGCAGAUGUGAGGUUAUUCGGCUUUAAGUAUACAAUAAACGAAUGCAUUUACUUGACAGUGUUUGUAAUCUGCAUGAAAAGUUUAUCCUCUAAAGAAGCAAAUUGCGUCCUGUCCUGUGCAUACGCCCAACUGUUUAUUAUAUGGAAGAAAAAUAUAAGAUGCCAACCUGAUACACUCUUCCUAGAGUAAAAUUGUCAUUUCCUGCUUGUGGUAUUUACUUUGCAUUCACUGAACAUGCGUAUCUACUCUGUAUAACAAAGGUUCCGAUACAUAAUUUCAUUCACAAUUCUGUAUGGGAGGUUGGAUUGUCCUAUCCUUCAUUCACUCUUGAUUAUCUUAUGAUAACCGACUAGUAUUGAAGUUGAUGUUGUCGCAUUCGAUUGUUUUUGAAGAAUUCUGGGAAGCAAAAAAUGUUUGAGAAUGCAUUGAACCUGCAUGUUGUAGAUGUGCCUACUAACAUUUCAUGACAUUGUCAGUCUUUUCAAGUUAGUAAUAACAUGGUAUUCUGGAGUUGCUGAUAACAAUCAGCUUAGUUAUAAUUGUUGAUCGAACUGGGUGUAGCUUUUAUGUUAUACUCCCUCCGUCCCAAAUUAAUUGACUUACAUUCAUCUAGAUACGGAUGUAUCUAACACUAAAACAUGGUUAGUCAUGUCCGUAUGUAGACAAAUCUGAGUCAACUAAUUCGGGACGGAGGGAGUAUUGUUCAGUGAGCUUUUUAUAGAGGUACAAGCUGGUCGUUGUGUUCAGAGGCUUGAUAUGACUGUUAACUCUAUAUUGUUUGGUUGUGUAUAUUUGCAAAUGAAUAUUGAUGCUAAUCACAUAGAGGAAAUAUGCAGGUCAUGGUCUUAAUCACGUGCGAUGGAUUAACAUAUUUCCUUCUUUUUGCUAUGAUUGCAAUGUGGCUGCUGAUGACUCACUGUCUUCAAAAUGCUUUUUAUUGAUCAAUAAAACUAUUAUCAAGCCCUGUUAAACAAUAACAAGCUUUGAUGCUCUGUUUUCAGUGAGAUUGCGAAGAACUUGCCACUUGCACCAGUAAAUCUCCAUUGCACUAUGCCUGCUGAAGAUGCAAUUAAAAUCAAAGAAGGUGAAUCUGGGAGACAGCCUUGUAGAGACACCUUUGAAAG
rnacentral:lncRNA from 1 species